GAUCCUGGCUCAGGAUGAACGCUAGCUACAGGCUUAACACAUGCAAGUCGAGGGGCAGCAUGAAUUUACUUCGGUAAAUUUGAUGGCGACCGGCGCACGGGUGCGUAACGCGUAUCCAACCUUCCCGUUACUCCGGGAUAGCCUUCCGAAAGGGGUGCUAAUACCGAAUGACGUUUCCUAGUCGCAUGACCUGGAAACCAAAGGCCGGGCAACCGGUCACUGAAGGAUGGGCCUGCGUCUGAUUAGCUAGUUGGUGAGGUAACGGCUCACCAAGGCGACGAUCAGUAGGGGUUCUGAGAGGAAGGUCCCCCACAUUGGAACUGAGACACGGUCCAAACUCCUACGGGAGGCAGCAGUGAGGAAUAUUGGUCAAUGGACGGAAGUCUGAACCAGCCAAGUCGCGUGAAGGAUGAAGGUUCUAUGGAUUGUAAACUUCUUUUGUCUGAGGGUAAAAAGCGGACGUGUCCGUUCUUGCAAGUAUCAGACGAAUAAGCAUCGGCUAACUCCGUG
rnacentral:rRNA from 1 species